UCCACUUAAAACUGGCCCGAGACUUUCC
rnacentral:piRNA from 1 species